rnacentral:rRNA from 1 species
AGAGUUUGAUCAUGGCUCAGGACGAACGCUGGCGGCGCGCUUAACACAUGCAAGUCGAACGUGAAGCCGGGGCUUGCCCCGGUGGAAAGUGGCGAACGGGUGCGUAACACGUGAGCAACCUGCCCCGAAGACUGGGAUAACACCGGGAAACCGGUGCUAAUACCGGAUACCUUCUUCCGAUCGCAUGGUUGGAUGAAGAAAUGGAUUCCGCUUCGGGAUGGGCUCGCGGCCUAUCAGCUUGUUGGUGAGGUAACGGCCCACCAAGGCGACGACGGGUAGCUGGUCUGAGAGGACGACCAGCCACACUGGGACUGAGACACGGCCCAGACUCCUACGGGAGGCAGCAGUGGGGAAUCUUGCUCAAUGGGCGAAAGCCUGAAGCAGCGACGCCGCGUGCGGGAUGAAGGCCCUCGGGUUGUAAACCGCUUUCAGCAGGGACGAAAUUGACGGUACCUGCAGAAGAAGGCCCGGCCAACUACGUGCCAGCAGCCGCGGUAAUACGUAGGGGCCUAGCGUUGUCCGGAUUUAUUGGGCGUAAAGAGCUCGUAGGCGGUUUGGUGAGUCGGGUGUGAAAUCUCCACGCUCAACGUGGAGGGGCCACCCGAUACUGCCAUGACUAGAGUCCGGUAGGGGAGUGUGGAAUUCCCGGUGUAGCGGUGAAAUGCGCAGAUAUCGGGAGGAACACCAGUAGCGAAGGCGACACUCUGGGCCGGUACUGACGCUGAGGAGCGAAAGCGUGGGGAGCAAACAGGAUUAGAUACCCUAGUAGUCC